UCCCGCUUCGUCUGAUGGUAGGACAGCGCCCUUUUGAAGGCGUGAAUCGUGGUUCGAGUCUAUGAGCGGGAACCA
rnacentral:tRNA from 1 species